UCCAUGAUCAUAUAUGAGGACAUGUAAGUCACUGGUAUAGAAAUUAUGUUUAGCAUAUAUACUGCCAAAGCAAGCACAGGAAAUUAUGUUUUAAAAAAAUCUGGAUUUCUAAGAACUCAGAUGGCUUCUGAGGUCCCUCCCAGCUAUAGAUCUAUGGUCUUACAACCUCCAAGUGUGGAAACUUUUUCCACCAGCAGUUUGGUAAUUGUAUAAUUUAUUGUUUUAGAAAGUUGUUUGCAUCAUUAAAAGGUUAAAUGACUUGCCAACAGUCAAAUAGCCAGUAUAUGGUAGUCAGGGCCUGGGCCAAGUCUUUUUCAUUCCUAGGCCAGCAUUUUUUAACCCACCCUUCCUUUCUUGGGAUUACUCUAAUCAGGUAAAUGGAGAACUGAGAUAAUUAUGUGAAUAAUUUAGGCUCCAACAGAUUUUUUUUUUGUUGCCUGAAUUAACCAGGGAAUCAAGCCAAAAUUCAGGUAUCCUGGAGGAAGGAAUAGUUUGUAUCUUCCAUAGAGUUGCUGGAAUGUACUUUCUUACAAUUUCCACAUGAUAAAACCCUUUUCUUCCUUCAAGACUAGUUCACAUAUCAUUUUCUCUAUGAAGCCAUCUUCCUCUUUCUCAGCUUUUUUUUUAGUUUUCUUUUUUCUUUCUUUCUUUCUUUCUUCCUUCCUUUCUUCCUUCCUUUCUUUCUUUCUUUCUUUCUUUCUUUCUUUCUUUCUUUCUUUCUUUCUUUCUUUCUUUCUUUCUUUCUUUCUUUCUUUCUUUCUUUCUUUCUUUCUUCCUUCCUUCCUUCCUUCCUUCCUUCCUUCCUUCCUUCCUUCCUUUCUUUCUUUCUUUCUUUCUUUCUUUCUUUCUUUCUUUCUUUCUUUCUUUCUUUCUUUCUUUCUUUCUUUCUUUCUUUCUUUCUUUCUUUCUUUCUUUCUUUCUUUCUUUCUUUCUUUCUUUCUUUCUUUCUUUCUUUCUUCUUCCUUCCUUCCUUUCUUUUCUUUCUUUCUUUCUUCUCUUCCUUCUUUCCUGGAUCUGAAACCUCCUCUGUGAUCCUAGACAAAGAGAAGGAAGGGGAAGGGAACAAGAAU
rnacentral:lncRNA from 1 species